ACGAUGACCCGCUUGCGGGGGAUUAGUGGCGAACGGGUGAGUAACACGUGAGUAACCUGCCCUUAACUCUGGGAUAAGCCUUGGAAACGGGGUCUAAUACUGGAUAUUGACUUUACCUCGCAUGGGGUUUUGUUGAAAGAUUUAUUGGUUUUGGAUGGACUCGCGGCCUAUCAGCUUGUUGGUGAGGUAAUGGCUCACCAAGGCGACGACGGGUAGCCGGCCUGAGAGGGUGACCGGCCACACUGGGACUGAGACACGGCCCAGACUCCUACGGGAGGCAGCAGUGGGGAAUAUUGCACAAUGGGCGAAAGCCUGAUGCAGCGACGCCGCGUGAGGGAUGACGGCCUUCGGGUUGUAAACCUCUUUCAGUAGGGAACAAGGCCAGCAUUUUUGUUGGUUGAGGGUACUUGCAGAAGAAGCGCCGGCUAACUACGUGCCAGCAGCCGCGGUAAUACGUAGGGCGCAAGCGUUAUCCGGAAUUAUUGGGCGUAAAGAGCUCGUAGGCGGUUUGUCGCGUCUGCCGUGAAAGUCCGGGGCUCAACUCCGGAUCUGCGGUGGGUACGGGCAGACUAGAGUGAUGUAGGGGAGACUGGAAUUCCUGGUGUAGCGGUGAAAUGCGCAGAUAUCAGGAGGAACACCGAUGGCGAAGGCAGGUCUCUGGGCAUUAACUGACGCUGAGGAGCGAAAGCAUGGGGAGCGAACAGGAUUAGAUACCCUGGUAGUCCAUGCC
rnacentral:rRNA from 1 species